rnacentral:rRNA from 1 species
GCUAACUACGUGCCAGCAGCCGCGGUAAAACGUAGGAGACGAGCGUUAUCCGGAUUUACUGGGCGUAAAGCGCGUGCAGGCGGCAUGGCAAGUUGGAUGUGAAAGCUCCCGGCUUAACUGGGAGAGGUCGUUCAAUACUGCCAGGCUUGAGAGUGGUAGAGGGAAGCGGAAUUCCGGGUGUAGUGGUGAAAUGCGUAGAUAUCCGGAGGAACACCAGUGGCGAAAGCGGCUUCCUGGCCCAUUUCUGACGCUCAGACGCGAAAGCUAGGGUAGCAAACGGGAUUAGAUACCCUGGUAGUC